GGCUUGUUGAGUAUAAUUUCAAGUCUGACCUGCCCACUGAAGUUUAAAUGGCCGCGGUAUUAUGACCGUGCAAAGGUAGCAUAAUCAUUAGUUUUUUAAUUGAAAGCUUGUAUGAAAGGUUUGAUGAGAAAAUAUCUGUCUCUAGAGGAAUUAAAUGGAAUUUUAUUUUUUAGUUAAAAAGCUGAGAUAUUCAUAGUAGACGAGAAGACCCUAUAGAGUUUUAUAGUUAGAUUUAUAAUUGUUGAUGUGGUAAUUAAGUAUUAAUUAUUUUUGUAAUUAUUUUGUUGGGGUGAUAGGAAAAUUAAUUGAACUUUUCUUUAAUUUAAAUAUUUAUUUGUAAGUAUAUGAUCCUAGAAUAGAUUAUAAAAUUAAACUACCUUAGGGAUAACAGCGUAAUUAUUUAAAGAGUUCUUAUCGAAUAAAUAGAUUGCGACCUCGAUGUUGGAUUAAAAUUGAUUGUUGGUGUAGGUGCUAGCAAGUUAGGUCUGUUCGACCUAUAAAAUUUUACAUGAUCUGAGUUUAAACCGGUGUAAG
rnacentral:rRNA from 1 species